rnacentral:rRNA from 1 species
GUCUACUUGGAGGUUGUGCCCUUGAGGCGUGGCUUCCGGAGCUAACGCGUUAAGUAGACCGCCUGGGGAGUACGGCCGCAAGGUUAAAACUCAAAUGAAUUGACGGGGGCCCGCACAAGCGGUGGAGCAUGUGGUUUAAUUCGAUGCAACGCGAAGAACCUUACCUGGUCUUGACAUCCACGGAAGUUUUCAGAGAUGAGAAUGUGCCUUCGGGAACCGUGAGACAGGUGCUGCAUGGCUGUCGUCAGCUCGUGUUGUGAAAUGUUGGGUUAAGUCCCGCAACGAGCGCAACCCUUAUCCUUUGUUGCCAGCGGUCCGGCCGGGAACUCAAAGGAGACUGCCAGUGAUAAACUGGAGGAAGGUGGGGAUGACGUCAAGUCAUCAUGGCCCUUACGACCAGGGCUACACACGUGCUACAAUGGCGCAUACAAAGAGAAGCGACCUCGCGAGAGCAAGCGGACCUCAUAAAGUGCGUCGUAGUCCGGAUUGGAGUCUGCAACUCGACUCCAUGAAGUCGGAAUCGCUAGUAAUCGUGGAUCAGAAUGCCACGGUGAAUACGUUCCCGGGCCUUGUACACACCGCCCGUCACACCAUGGGAGUGGGUUGCAAAAGAAGUAGGUAGCUUAACCUUCGGGAGGGCGCUUACCACUUUGUGAUUCAUGACUGGGGUGAAGUCGUAACAAGGUAACCGUAGGGGAACCUGCGGUUGGAUCACCUCCUUACCUUAAAGAAGC